rnacentral:rRNA from 1 species
GAUGAACGCUAGCUACAGGCUUAACACAUGCAAGUCGAGGGGCAGCAUGGUCUUAGCUUGCUAAGGCCGAUGGCGACCGGCGCACGGGUGAGUAACACGUAUCCAAUCUGCCGUCUACUCUUGGACAGCCUUCUGAAAGGAAGAUUAAUACAAGAUGGCAUCAUGAGUCCGCAUGUUCACAUGAUUAAAGGUAUUCCGGUAGACGAUGGGGAUGCGUUCCAUUAGAUAGUAGGCGGGGUAACGGCCCACCUAGUCUUCGAUGGAUAGGGGUUCUGAGAGGAAGGUCCCCCACAUUGGAACUGAGACACGGUCCAAACUCCUACGGGAGGCAGCAGUGAGGAAUAUUGGUCAAUGGGCGAGAGCCUGAACCAGCCAAGUAGCGUGAAGGACGACUGCCCUAUGGGUUGUAAACUUCUUUUAUAAAGGAAUAAAGUCGGGUAUGGAUACCCGUUUGCAUGUACUUUAUGAAUAAGGAUCGGCUAACUCCGUG